rnacentral:rRNA from 1 species
UACUCGAGUGGCGAACGGGUGAGUAACACGUGGGUGAUCUGCCCUGCACUCUGGGAUAAGCCUGGGAAACUGGGUCUAAUCCCGGAUAGGACCAUGCUUUAGUGUGUGUGGUGGAAAGUUUUUUCGGUGUAGGAUGAGCCCGCGGCCUAUCAGCUUGUUGGUGGGGUAAUGGCCUACCAAGGCGGCGACGGGUAGCCGGACUGAGAGGUUGGUCGGCCACAUUGGGACUGAGAUACGGCCCAG